UCCGGUCACCAGCUAAUCCUAUGGCACGCGCCGCAAAGUCAGAUGUGCGCCCCCCGGCAGCAUGAAGCCCGGAACAGCCAGGAAGUUCCAGGGAGAUUCCAAGACCGGCCUGUAUAGCAUUCCUGCCGUAUAAACCCAAGGGGGCGCUGCGGCAGGAGGAAGGGACCAAGAGGCAGCAUCCCCAAGGAAGCGUGACCCGGCGCAGCAUAGGAGAAAGUAGACAAAGCCGUAACCAAACCCCCGCUGCCUGGCAGCCCCAUCCGGAGCAGACAACCAGCCCACCAGAGGGCUACAGGGGACAAUCUCAUGGUGGUGCUGUCAUGAUGAACUCAUGAAAAACGAAUUAUCGGCUGAGGGUUUGACUACUAUGAGCCACCAGCGGGACUCUACACAUGGAGUGAACAGACCGGAUUUAUAUUUAAUCCUGUGGAACUGACGCCGAGGAUACGAUCGCUAUACAGAUAUAACCCAGAUAUUUGCUUUUGUUGAUUAAGACAUUUGUUCUCAGUGUUGUGUAUUGUUUCCCUUCCUUCCCAUCCCGUACCCCUUUUUACUUUUCUGUACCUUCCCGUCCCCCUUUUUUUUCCCACUUUAUUGUUUAUUAUAGAAAAAUCAAUAACCAUUUUAAAAUGAGAAAAAAAAAAAAGACAUGAAAGGAUCGGCAUGACCUAGUGAGUCACUGGGUCAUUCCCCAUGUGGGCGCGUGUCUCGGAGGCCGGCGCUACGCCAGUGUUAGGUUAGGGAACCACUCUAAAUAGGUGGCCUUGACGUGGCGAGUGGGCUUGUACUUUUUGAUCAAAAUGUAUAAUAACAACCUGUUUAAAUGAUUUUUUUUAAAUGAUACUGAGAAGCAAAUAGAUCAAAAUACAAAUGGUGGAUGUGCGGCUGUGUUUCUCUAUUUGUGUUGUACAUAUAUAGAAGCAUUAUUUUUCAUCUGUGAUAUGACAGGUACGCUUUAAUAAAAAUGUAUCUGUUAAAGGAGUACUCCGGAGCGCUGGUACUUAAAAAAAAUAAAAAGUUUACCUCAUCUGAUAGCUCUUUCAAAGACCUUUCCAACGAUACCUCAUUUGUCAAAUUUGGCCUAGCCAUCCUCUUGUAAUUGCCACCUGUAGCAGUAAGCAGCCAAGUCAUAAAGACUACA